AAAUUGAAGAGUUUGAUCAUGGCUCAGAUUGAACGCUGGCGGCAGGCCUAACACAUGCAAGUCGAACGGUAACAGGAAGCAGCUUGCUGCUUCGCUGACGAGUGGCGGACGGGUGAGUAAUGUCUGGGAAACUGCCUGAUGGAGGGGGAUAACUACUGGAAACGGUAGCUAAUACCGCAUAACGUCGCAAGACCAAAGAGGGGGACCUUCGGGCCUCUUGCCAUCGGAUGUGCCCAGAUGGGAUUAGCUUGUUGGUGGGGUAACGGCUCACCAAGGCGACGAUCCCUAGCUGGUCUGAGAGGAUGGCCAGCCACACUGGAACUGAGACACGGUCCAGACUCCUACGGGAGGCAGCAGUGGGGAAUAUUGCACAAUGGGCGCAAG
rnacentral:rRNA from 1 species